rnacentral:lncRNA from 1 species
UCUUCUCUCUCUCUCGUUCGAUCGAUCCAGCCAUCAUCCGGGGUUCCUUCUUCCCGGCGAGUCAUCGCCGGAAAUCCAUCUCUCUCUCCCUCGCAUACAUCGGUAACCACCCAAACACUCACCUCUCAAUCUCUCUCGAAUCUCCUCCGGCGAAGAACCGUCGGUCAGUCACCUCCCUCAACGUUUCACUACAGCGCCGUUGUUCCUGCUGCUCCGGCGACUCACGACGAGGCCACCGCCGAUUGCUGCUGUUUGUGGAAGCGCCGCCGACUGCUGCUGUUCGUGGAGUCCGCCGCCGACUGCUGCUGUUCUGAAGUUGGCCGCCGACUGCUGCUGUUCUGGUAUCGCGGGCUGCUGUUGCAGAGCUCCGACAGCCACCACCGUCGUCGGCUGCCGCUGCCUCGCCCAAGGCCGACUUCUGCUACCAAGCACCGAACGCCGCUGCUGUAGGGAGGCCGGCGAACAGUCGGGUGUUCGCCGUUUCCAGUUCUUCUCCGAGUUCCGAAGCCGGUGAGAGCUCCAUCAUCGCGUCGUCUCGUUCGUCUCUCGGCCCAACUGAACAGGUCGUGGAGCAACAAGGCGAGCUUCUCGCCUGAACCCACCGCCAAGCACCGAGUCGCUGCUGCUCGUCGUCUCUCGAUCAGCCUGAACAGGCCGCGUCCCUUCUUCCUAAAGCUAAGUUAUAUCCUUGACUCGUCUUCUUCCUACCAUGUAUGAGUAUCGAUAAGCUUAAGCUUCUAUGAGUAAGAAAGAAUCAGGGUUUAACACUCUGUCAGUGAGCAUGCUAUCGCUAUCCUUGUUCGUUCAUUCAUGUGCUAUGUGUGAGGUCCUCAUGGUUUGUGUUCUAGAGUGCAGUGGCAGUAUACACAUAAGUCUUUCUAUUGCUAUACAUAACAUGGACUGUUUGAUGUAGUGGUAAAACAUGAUUAUGCUCGUUGGUAUGAAUGCGAACUCGAUUGGAUAACUGAGGUAGUAUAAAUACCUUGAAUGAUGCUUGCUUUGGUGUUUGUUGGCUGUUGUGGUUGGAUUAAAUGAAGCAGCAGAUCGAACUGAAAUAAUAAAGUUGUUCUUGCAUUAAUGCAGGUGGAAUAAGGGAAGAAGGUGGAGCAUUGAAGACAAGCUUACCUUGAGAAUACUUGGUAGGAUGAAUUAAAGGCUCACUUCUCCUUGUGCAGUCCUCAAAUGAAGAAUGAAGAGAAUGCAACAAUGUUGGCUGUUUUGAAUGACGAGGUGGUUUGGCUGGGAGCUUGUAUACAUGGGAGGAGGUACAUUCUAGGGUGGCUGAUUGACAUAUUUAGGUGUACUUGGGUAUGGCAGCCUGCUGCAUAGGCGUGGGAAAAGAAAG